AUCUCCUCUAACAGACACAACUGCAGGGUAUGUCCAUCGUCUUCAUGUUUCAGCUGAUGAAACAGCCCGAGGAAGCUUAGGUAACUUACUCCAGGACAUCUAUCGGAGGUUUACCCUUUGCCUAACUGGAGAAGCCAUCACUUCCCCCUUCAUGUUGAUCUAGAAGAACGCAGUUUGGGGCUAUCACCAACGUGCAUGUUUGUCAGUGAACUUUUUCUCUCUGAAAAUCUCACCUUUGCUUUCAGAGACUAAAGAUGAAGCCACUCCCACCUGCCUGCAGGUAAAAUCCCACCCCCUCUCUCCUUGAUGCCCCAGACGCCUGGACAGAAUAACCACCUCAGAUCUACUGUAUUAUUCUUCAGAAUUUACAAUCAUGUAGAUUCACCAUGUUAAAAUUUUGACUUUCUCCUACUAAUCUGUUUGAUGGUGGUGGUGGUUAUCCACUACUAUUUUCACCAGUAUUUAUUAUGCAAGGCCUUCUGAAGGUCUUCAACAUGAAGAGGACCAAGAAUGAAAUAUGAUUAACAGAAGCAUAAACCCGAUUUCAUGGGUGGACCCCGAUAAGGAAGAGGGGCCAGCUGGGAAGGUGGGGGGAUCAGUCUGAGCAAAGAAUGAUUUAAAGAAUCACCACCUGCUGAGGAGGGUGGAAUUACUUAAUAUUCUCUGAGGCAGCCAGCAUUUCGAAACUUUUCGUUUGGGAGAAAAUGUGAAAUACCCCAUUAAGUUCAGGUACGUUUAAAUGAAUUAAACUCAGGUUGCUGAUGAAGGGGGUGACUGGGGUAAACAUCAAUGGAAAAGGCUUAAACAACAGUGUCGCCCGAUGGGUGAAGCCGAGGAGUUGCCUGAGCUUGCAGUUCUUCAGAAUUCGGUAGAAUUCGGUGUCCCUAAGUAGCACAAUGAUUCACCUGCUAGUUGGGGCGACGGCUGGAGGGUACCUCGAUCCCUUCUGAGAUAUGUUGAGUUAAUCCUACCAAGACGAUGUCGGAAAGCGAGCAGGUUUGGUUUUAGUCUUACGGUUCCCCUGGACUCUCAAUACUUUCUUCACGAAUCACACCCAAUGGCAAGUUGUCAGAUGGACGGUGAAGCUCCAUCUGUGUCCAGUGUCAUUAGAACAAACCCACACGUAAUGAAGAUACUACUAUUCCCAGGGGGCGGGGCGCCUGGAGAGCAAGAAUAGGAGAAGCAACGACACUGGGAAUCAGGGCCAGGGGGCUGAAAGGCAGACAGCGACCCUGCUGCGAUGCCUUUCGAGACCCACUCUCGUAUUAUUUAUUUUAUGGCUAUAAAAACCUCCGUUGGAAGCUAAUGUGAUCGAGGUCUGUGAAUAACAAAUCGUUUUGCUACUAAGCGUCAGCCACCCCAGCCAUCUAUUACAUCAGAAGGGAUCCCCUAUCUCCCCACUUUCAUUUGAGCUUGAAAAAUAGGGAACGAGAAAGACUAAAAGGCGUUGAGAAAUAACAGCUCUGAGCUGGAGAAUUUUAAAUAGGCUUCCGAUCUAUCACAGCUGACUUUCCCCAUCCCUAGCAGACAGGCAGCUCUGUGCACAGUGAGGAAACCUGGCUCCCGCCUUCCCAGAGCAGAGCUGGCCCCAGGAAGGGCGUUCCCGCCCCUGAGGGAUAGUCACAACUUGUGAGCAGGAAAUUGCUCUGGGAGGACACGCAGCGCAGAGGCGGAGACCAGCUCGCGGGCCUUUGUCCACCACCCCGCGGGGAUCAUCAUCUUCUGGGGCCGCCGACACGGCCACGAACACGGGAUGCUCAGGUGGCGGCACCUUUUCUUUCAGACCUGCCAGCACCGCGCCGGGUCAGAGGCCUGCGGGGCUGACUUGUCUGAGGGCUUCGAGCAACCGACACAUCAACACACUCUUAAGCAUUUCUCUAAGGGCGGGGAACACAGUGAUGACAAGACUCUGCGGGGUAAAGUGCCAACCAUGUGAGGGCACUUGCCCGUCUGGGACAACCGAUGCUUCCGUUACCAAGCCAGGUAACUGCACUUUAAAAAACACGAAGUUCUAUCCCACCACUGUUGCAGAAGAGUCUUAUUUGCACUUCGGCCUCACCUUGCAUUUAUUCUCUCGCUUUCUAGCAUUGACUUGCCACUUCUUCACUGAUUAACAGCCUCUCUCCUGUAUUUUCUUCAAAUCUCGAUUUCAUUUUCUCUGUUUGUCACCAACUCAGAGAGCAGAGCUGGGUGGGUGGCACGACCACCUGCCGAGACCGCAGCUUCCGUUCCUACUUCAAGGGCCCCCCGUUGGCAAGUUGUCAGGUUUUUUCCAAAGUGUAUUCUCAGUAGAGACACUGCAUCACCUCACUGCUUCCGAGAGUCACAAGAUCUCUGCCCUAAGGCGCUGCUCAUCGCCUGUUACAUAAGGAAUGGUUAAGGAAGAAGUCGUGAAGAGGCUGAAUGUGGCUUUUCAUCCGCUGUUUGUGACUUCCUAAGUUAAGCUUUCAGUUGUGCCCUCUCUUGAAUUUGGAAAUGUUCUGUCCUCUAUUUCUAACCGAUCUGAAAUUCUAGGAUGCUCCACACAGGACGAGUCUUGAUCUCUUUGUACCUGAGCUGCUCACUGAAGGAGCUGGGAACGGCCUCACUGAAGCAUUUCUCACUGUGCCUUCUCUGCCCGUGUGCUUUCUACAGCAACUAUUUAAUUUGCAAUUCUACAGCAAAAUAUACUUUUUUUUUGGUGGGGGGAGGGGCACUAUGGAGAACAGGUUGAAAGAAAUUGCAAGAAAUUGGCUAAAAAAAAGACCUGGAAAACGAAUGCAUCAUCUCAUGGUGAUGAGUUAGCUUGGCUGCGACUGAUGCAAUGAAAUCCGGUAUGGAUUACUAAAUACAUUUCAAAAAUUUCAAAAAUAAACUGGAAGUGUUAAUA